GCAGCAGGCUGAGAGCUCAACUACCGUACUGUAGCUAGUAGGAGCGCAAACUCCCAAAAAAACUGCACGUUGUAGACAUCGCUGAACACAAUAUAAAUCGUCCCGCAGGAAAACAGUUUAAUGUUUUUUUUCUCUCAAAGAGACCUUAAAAACAGGGUGCGACUUAUACUCCGGAUUUUACGGUAA